rnacentral:piRNA from 1 species
GAGCAAACUCUAGAGAGCAGACAAGGGUCU